GUUAGCGGUUUGGCCUAAUGGAGGCAGAACUAUCGCCGGCUCGGAGCUUUACUUAAGGGUUCAUGUUCCUUGGCCAAACCAGUCCCUUCCUUCUCUGCCUUUGUCCCUCCGCGCACUAAGGACGUGAUGGGCCUUGUGCUGCUUCACCUUUGCGACACUCAGGGACUUUGCAAACUGCACCUGCGCCUUAAUUCCUGGCGAGAACGGAGAUGCUAAUUACUUCUGACAAGACAAGGCACCAAUACGUAUCAGACCUAACUUACCUUGAGGACUCCAUGGCGGCCAGCGUUACCAAGCCCGGAGUGACGACUGAAGUAGGAAGCAGUAACGGAAGAUGAAGUCAGUGUGCUGGAACAAGCUGGUGUAUGGGACGCGUCUGUCAUCUGGUUGUGUUCUGCUGCGCUGAGAGGGCAAGGCUGUGACAACCUAUAUGGCAUCUCGUCCUUUUCUCCAGUUUCACCCAUUUUCACAUUUCAGGUUCCAAUUCUCUUCUCAUGACGUGCCCCAAAUGACAUGACAUUAAAGUUUCACAAGUGGAAAUUAAGACUUGUUUCGCCUUGGAACAAACUAAAAGAACCUGCAGGCCGAAGAUCUCGUGUAUAAGCCUUUCACCGUGACGUCCUGCGAUGGGCCACCUCCAGGCUACUUGAAUACAGUGGACGCUUGCAUCUG